rnacentral:lncRNA from 1 species
AGUGGCAACUUGUUCGGGUAUCCUUCCCCAGUGUGGAAGCUUUAGUUCUUUUGCUCUUUGCAAUGAAUCUUGCUGCUGCUCACUCUUUGGGUCCACGCUGCGUUUACACUGUGUUUAUGAGCUGUAACACUCACCACAAAGGUCUGCAGCUUCACUCCUGAAGCCAGCAAAGACCACGAACCCACCAGGAAGAAGGAACAACUCCAGACACGCAGCCUUAAGAGCUGUAACACUCACUGCCAAGGUCUUCAGCUUCACUCCUGAGCCAGCCAGACCAUGAACCCACCAGAAGGAAAAAACUCGGAACACAUCCCAACAUCAGAAGGAACAAACUCUGGACAUGCCGCCUUUAAGAACUGUAACAACGCAAGGGUCCGCGGCUUUAUUCUUGAAGUCAGUAAGACCAAGAACCCAAUUCCGGACACGUUUGGACCAUGGAAAGGCAGCUCAACAUCUGAGAAGCCAGUCUUACUCCCUGCAGGCAACAGCUGCUUCCAGAAAACAGCCCUGUAAUUGUCACCAUCAAAUCCAUAUAUUUUCAAGGGAAGUUGGUCCCACACCAGAAGUCAUAGCUGAAUCACCAGCAGUAAUGCAGGGACAUACUGGUUGCUUCUUGGCUUUUCCAACCCUCUGCCAUGCUUGAACAUCUUUGUGAAAGUCCAGGAACAACAAAUAAGCUUAAGGAUAAAAGCCCCCCAGCCAUACCACCACAACCCCCUGUUAAACUCAUGCAUGACUUGUAGAAUCCUUUCCCCACUGUCACUAAAAGGCUUUUUACAUUUUCCCUCCUUAAAACACCAGUUUACUGAAUGGAACGCUAUUUCCUAAAUAUUUGCUACACACACAGCUGUAUAUAGAGUUCCCAGGAGAUGACUUUUUUCUUGUCAUCUUUUAAAACUACAGUUAUAUGUUGAUUUAAUUAUCUUCUCUCUAGAUUACUUCACCAAAGUACAGUUCCUACAGGAAGAUAAUGAUCUGACCUAACCUACUAUUGGCUGAAGGAAGGAGAAAAGCAGCUGAAGAUGUCUGUUGAGUGAUUACCCUCAUAAUCCGUGACUAAGAACAUCCAAAUCAGCAUGGCUUCUUCCUGUCUGAAAUUAUUACUACUUAGGGUUUUUCACGUGUUAUUUCAUUUAUUGAUUAUUCUGUUUUAAACUUGCAAGACGUAUUGUCUCUUCAGAAAUAAAACUUUAUCACUUGCUUCAUCAA